rnacentral:lncRNA from 1 species
CAGCGGCGCCGGGCGCGGCGUUGAGGAGAGCGCCUACCGAGACGUGAUGGUCGUCGGCACUGUAGCCGGCGGCCAAAAGAUCCCCGGUUAGGGCCGGCCAGUCGAGCCACCGCACGCUGCCCUCGACGACACGGCCGACAAACUGGUCAAACGACUCUCGGGCCGUAUGCGCACACGUGUACGGGUCCGGCGCCGGAUGCAAUGACGGCGCUCCGGCGUCCCACAGGACGCCUUCGGCUUCUUCCAUGGUGAGGGUGCCCGCGCUCGUGAGGUCCGCCAGAGUGUCGGAUCGGAUGGCGCCAAGAAUCGCCGAGCCGGUCAAAACGGGCGAAUCGCGCGGCACCACCUCCCUAAAGACGCGCAGGGUAGUGGGCAUGCCCAGCAGCGCCAACAAUGCAUCGACAUCGCGCACGAUGUUGUUUGGCCACGUGCCCCUAAGAGGGUCGAACCCGAAAUCGGUCCUGAUCGUGUGGGCGGUGCUGGUCCUUGCCGCCUCCAGGGUCGCCUCGCGCAGGACGUCCAACGGAUGUGUGUCAGAGACAGAGAGCGUUGGCCGCGUGCGGGCAAAUGUCGCGAUCAAGGCGCGCGCAGCGUCGGACGCAGGUCUCGUCCUAAAUCGUUGGUCGCCCUCACGGCCCUCGACCAGUGCGUCUCGCGCGACGCCCUCUGACAUAAGGGCCGACUCGAUGAGCGCCUCGACCGUGGGCCAUGGGCGCACGCCGCGCGACCCCAGUAAGCGUACGGUGCGCGGUGAUCCCGCGACGGCGGCCAACCCGAGCGGCGUCAGAUCACUGAUCGUCGAACCCAAAUCCAGGCCCCUGUCGCGCUGCGCAACGCCCUCGGGAGCGCGAAAGGCAAAGCCGCACCGCAUACCGCGGAGCAGGCCCGAGACGUCGUCUACGCCAUGCACCAUGGGCACGUCGGCCCGCAGGAUGCCCGUCGAGAGGAUGGCCGCGACGGUGUCGACAUCGUCGCGCAGGAUGGCGCACAAAAGGGCGCGCGUGCAGGCCAGAGGGUCGGGGCACACUUGGCGCCGCGUCUGUGCGACCUCGCGCUCCAGGGUGGCGCGUCGGCCAGACUCGAAUGCCCGCGAGACCCCGCCCAGACCCAGGGCCUCGGCGGGACCCAGAUUGGAGAUCACGGCGUGCCACAUCUCGCCGGGCAACUCGAUCGGCGGUUCAGCGGCGUCUCUUUGCUGUCGUCUCCCUCUGUAUCCGUCCUCGCCGUCGUCAUUGUGCUCGUAUGUUCGCGACCGUUUGCGCGGUCGACGUCGCGAGACAAAAGAGACCUGCCUGUCGGGCCGCUGCAUCGUAAACCAGGAAAAGAAGACAAGAGGUGCCGGCGGGCUUUCUCAUGGCGCCGCAGCCUUUGGAACAGCGCCAGACAAGCCUUUGCGAGCACGCGCCGACGACCCAAUCUGCCUCGGCCUCUCUUUUGUGGGCAGGGGGUGCGCACGAAAAGACGUCGUCGGGAUCCGGCGGGGCUAGGCUGCCAAAGACAAUGUUGAUCAACAAAAAAAAAGACAAAAAAAGAAGGCACAACUGUGCGGCAAUGCCCAAAGGCGCGCCGACAAAAAAAAAGACCAGGCGGGCGAGCCAGCCAACAAAUGAAAAAAAGGAAAAAAAACACAAGACAACCUCUUUUUACUAGGGGCGUGGAGCGCCGAAAAAGGAGCGUAUGGACCGU